rnacentral:rRNA from 1 species
UACAGAGGGUGCGAGCGUUGUCCGGAUUUAUUGGGCGUAAAGGGCUCGUAGGUGGUUUGUUGCGUCGGAAGUGAAAACCUGCAGCUUAACUGUGGGCUUGCUUUCGAUACGGGCAGACUUGAGGAAGGUAGGGGAGAACGGAAUUCCUGGUGGAGCGGUGGAAUGCGCAGAUAUCGGGAGGAACACCAGUGGCGAAGGCGGUUCUCUGGACCUUUCCUGACGCUGAGAAGCGAAAGCCGGGGGAGCGAACGGG